AUCUACUCCUACCUGUCCUACAGAACACUGACCUACAGAACACUGACCUACAGCCAAUAGAACUAGUUCUACUCCUACCUGUCCUACAGAACACUGACCUACAGAACACUGACCUACAGCCAAUAGAACUAGUUCUACUCCUCUGUAUACUCAGUGCUAUCCUCAAUGGGCUCUUAGAGGGCUUCAGUGUAUUGAACCAGAACAAGGCCUAGGUUGAACAUUAUUACCACAAUAUUAGGUUCAAUAUGAUGUUAUGUUUCCCUGCCCUAAAACAUGAGGGCUUAUUUUCCGCAGUGGGACACGUCAUGUGUUAAGUUAUACAAUGCAUUUGGAAAGUAUUCAGACCCCUUGACUUGUUCCACAUUUUGUUAGGUUACAGCCUUAUUCUAAAAUGGAUUAAAUACAUUUUUUCCUCAUCAAUCUACACACAAUACCCCAUAAUGACAAAGCGAAAAACAGAAAUACCUUAUUUACAUAAGUAUUCAGACCUUUUGCUUUGAGAUUCAAAAUUGAGCUCAGGUGCAUCCUGUUUGCAUUGAUCAUCCUUGAGAUGUUUCUACAACUUGAUUGGAGUUCACCAGUGGUAAAUUCAAUUGAUUGGACAUGAUUUGGAAAGGCACACACCUGUCUAUAUAAGGUCCCAACAGUUGACAGUGCAUGUCAGAACAAAAACCAAGCCAUGAGGUUGAAGGAAUUAUCCAUAGAGCUCUGAGACAGGAUUGUGUUUAAGCACAGAUCUGGGGAAGGGUACCAAAACAUUUCUACAGCAUUGAAGGUCCCCAAGAACACAGUGGCCUCCAUCAUUCUUAAAUGGAAGAAGUUUGGAACCACCAAGACAUCCGGCCAAACUGAGCAAUCGGGGGAGAAGGGCCUUGGUCAGGGAGGUGACCAAGAACCCAAUGGUCACUCUGACAGAGCUCCAGAGUUCCUCUAUGGAGAUGGAAGAACUUUCCAGAAGGACAACCAUCUCUGCAGCACUCCACCAAUCAGGCCUUUAUGGUAGAGUGGCCAGACGGAAGCCACUCCGCAGUAAAAGGCACAUGACAGCCCGCUUGGAGUUUGCCAAAAGGAACCUAAAGACGAUCAGACCAUGAGAAACAAGAUUCUCUGGUCUGAUGAAUCCAAGAUUGAACUCUUUGGCCUGAAUGCCAAGCGUCACAUCUGGAGGAACCCUGGCACCAUCCCCCUGAGUAAAGGGCCUGAAUACUUAUGUCAAAUGUUAUAUUUCAGUUAUUUUAUUUGUAUAAUUUUGCUAACAUUUCUAAAAAACCUGUUUUUGCUUCGUCAUUAUGGUGUGUAGAUUGAUGAGGGGGAACAUUUUGAUUUAAUUCACUUUAGAAUAAGGCUGUAAUGUAACAAAAUGUGGAUAAAGACAAGAUGAAGACUUUCUGAAUGCUCUGUAUAUAUUAAUUUGUAUAAUUUACAGUGAGAUGCUUGUUAGCAGUGAGUGUGAUGAGUGUUUCCUACUUUGUGUUUCUGGUCGAGAACAGAAAAUAUACCCAUGUAGCAUUGAACCUACUCCUGUCCCAGAUGUUUGUGCUAUCUUGGCAAAUCCUAUGGUCAUUGUCAAGCAAGACAGCACAAACAGAUCUAGGACCAGGCUAAGUUAGAAACUGGUUUCAUAUUAUAAUUAUAAUCAGAUAAAAAUCUAUCUCUGUCAGUUUACCUUCAAAUGUAUUCAAAGCUGUUUCAAAAGUUGGCAAUCUAUGUAAAUACAAUCAACAAUCAAAUACGAGAAAAAUAAAUCCCAACAUGUUUCCAAGUCCACUUGCAUUGUGUGUGGGUGUGUGUGUGUGUGUGUGUUGGCUAUAUGGGUAAUUCACAAUUGCAUUUCUAUUUUCAAGAGUACAUCUUUGGUGUAGAGGUCAGG
rnacentral:lncRNA from 1 species